rnacentral:rRNA from 1 species
AUUGAACGCUGGCGGCAGGCCUAACACAUGCAAGUCGAGCGGAGCGGCUGACGGGUGAGUAAUGCCUCGGAAUCUACCUGGUAGUUGGUGAUAACGUCCGGAAACGGGCGCUAAUACCGCAUACUAUCAGAUGAGCCUAGGUCGGAUUAGCUAGUGGGUGGGUGAAAGGCCUCCCAAGGCGACGAUCCGGAACUGGUCUGAGAGGAUGAUCAGGCACAAUGGAACUGAGACACGGUCCAGACUCCGACGGGAGGCAGCAGUGGGGAAUAUUGGACAAGGGGCGAAAGCCUGAUCCAGCCAUGCCGCGUGUGUGAAGAAGGUCUUCGGAUUGUAAAGCACUUUAAGUUGGGAGGCGUUACCAACAGAAUAAGCACCGGCUAACUUCGUGCCAGCAGCCGCGGUAAUUC